rnacentral:rRNA from 1 species
GACGGAGGGUGCAAGCGUUGUUCGGAUUGAUCUGGGCGUAAAGGGCGUGAGUAGGCGGUUGGUCAAGUCGUGGUGUGAAAGCCCGGGGCUCAGGCUCCCGGAAGUGCAUCGGAAACUAGCCGACUGGAGCGCGAUAGAGGAGGGUGGAAUUCCUGGUGUAGCGGUGAAGUGCGUAGAUAUCAGGAGGAACACCGGUGGCGAAGGCGGCAUCCUGGACCAUGACUGACGCUGAGGAGCGAAAGCCAGGGGAGGCAAACGGG